CUUUCAGGGCCCUGGCCCUACGCUCCCACUUCCGCGUCUGCUGCAAGCCUGUCUCCCAAUGCGCGAUGACGUCACUUGCGUGCGUCCUUUGCGCUGGAGACAGGCGCUGGUGAGGGAGUGAGGGAGCGGCUGCUGGCUUGGAGUACUUUGAAGGAGAAGGACUUCUGCUUGCUGCAGGCUGGACAGGGAAGACUGGGCCUUGGGAUUUCUUUGUGCAGUUCUGAAAAAGUGGAUUUCUUGCUGCUGGUUUGAUUUGGUUCCAGGCUGGCAGCCAACUGCACUCUACCUGAGCAACGUCCCCACCGCGUGCUUCUCACAUUUAAUACCCGCAGAGGAGUCAUUGGCACCUCCUGGUCUGGCCUGUGUAUUUGAAUGCUAAUUAUAACCAGAGACAAGUCAGGAGCUGCUUCCCCCCGGCACGAGGCACCGUGCGAACAGCAAGAGCGCAAUUCUUCAAUUUCAUUUCUUUUACAAAAAAAACAUUAGGAAGCAAAGACAACAUGCCGGGGAACAUGACAAAUUCCUUCUGUGGCUGAAAGUAUGAGGGAAAACCAAAUACAAAUGGAAUUCUAAUUUGCAGAGGCCAUGAAUAAUCUCAUCUCAAAGGCGCUGUGUAUGGCCAUGUCUUAUAACUCAAUUUGUUAUUCUCACACUUGUUAAAAGGGAAAGUAAACCCUGUUCCUCUGGAUUGCUUCCUUCUUAUUUCAUUUGCUCAAUAGCUCAAGGCAGUAGUUCUUAUGUAGGCAGAACCUUCAGCCUUGAUAGAAGUGUUUGCCAUCAUUUUACAGCAAUGGCACCCCUAAUGGGCACAACAAUAUUGCACUGUUUUGGUGAUUUUCACAAGAGAGACGCUUUUAUUGAUGUAUACAAAUGCAAGUAUUCAGAGAAGGAAUGGUUAAAUUAAAAAGUAAGUUGCAAUCUA